rnacentral:lncRNA from 1 species
GGAUUGUGGUCUCACAUGCCGGACGGGGUAUGGAGAUCUUAUGGUUUUGGCGCCCAUACCGGACGGGGUAUGGGGACGGCCCGUUUCACCCUCAUACCGGACGGGGUAUUGAGGUUUAUGGUUUUGGCGCCCAUACCGGACGGGGUAUGAGGACGGCCCGUUUCACCCUCAUACCGGACGGGGUAUUGAGGUUCAUGGUUUUGGCGCCCAUACCGGACGGGGUAUGGGGACGGCCCUGGAAACUGAUUAUGAAUGUUAAAGGUUAACGGGUAGCGGAACCCCUAUGGACCCCCACGGAUACUAGUAGGCUGGUAAAUGAGAAAAAGGGAUAUGUUGUACAAUGAUUGAAUUACAAGAGGCGUGAUAAGUGUUAUGUUUUACAGCUUAGAUUAUUAAAUGAUUAUGAUGAUGUUAUUGUUUUUCUCAUAUUGUUUUCAUAAAUUCCACCAAGGUAAGUGGAUGGUAAAGGUUUUCAUGUUAAUAAACGAGUUUAUUGUAAAUUGUGCUCCAUUGGUCUUUUUGUGGUUUUCUACCCACCUUUAUUUCCGUGACGGUGAGAUAUCGUGAUGUUCUUACUGGGCUAGUGUAGCUCACUCCUUAAUUAACCAUUUCAGAUCAGGAAGACAUGGUUCCCGAGCCCGUUCCGCAGGAGGACGACGAAGGGGAUGCCUAGAGACUCUGUAGACAUACGCAUAGUCUUAUUUUCGAGUUCCUCUCUUAGUUAGUUUAACCUUUUAUAUUUUAAGUACGUUUGUUUGGUUUUUCGUGUAAGGGAUGUUAAUUGAAAUUUUGAUCUCGCUUCCGC